rnacentral:rRNA from 1 species
GUCUAUGGCUGUACCACCCUGAAUGCACCUGAUCUCGGAAGCUAAGCAGGGUUGGGCCUGGUUAGUAUUUGGAUGGGACAAAUAAUGCUGGAAACAUAAGCA